AAUUGUUGAACUAUUUUUAGCCUUCACGGCCAGGGUCGUCACGACCAGUAUCAAGGGUGAGCACACCAGGUCCUUCAGAACAACUGCUUGACGUCCUGGAAAGGCUCGGAAAACUGGACAGUGACCAUGUAGCCCUGAAGAAGAGAGUAGAUGAUCUAGAGGAAGAAAUGAAGAACAAGUUAGACAAGUCUGCUAUUGAAGGAUUAGGGAUACCAGCUGACAUGCUAGAACAGAUAGGUAAACUGAAAGAGGAACUGGAUGCUCUCGCUGCUCUGAGAGAAAAGGUAAUGUGUUCUGCACAUAUAUAUAGGUGUCAUUGCUUGCUUUGUGCCUCACU